rnacentral:sRNA from 1 species
CUUCUAUACAACCGUGGAGCCAGGGCAAGGGAGAGACAGAAGGAGCAAGUGACCCAGGGAGACAAACACUUGGAGAUACUUGGGGCUGAGUUUGAGCAAGACUCCCUAACCUGUGUCUGGACAAGUCUGAUGUCCUGUGUGGCCCAAGAAGAACUGACCCCGUGUCUGGAGCUCCCACCGUUAUUGCAUCCCUGCUGUGGCUCACCUGCUGCUGUCUCCAGGAGCCCCUGAGAAGAUUUGCUUCCUCUCCCCUGCUAAGCUCCAGGUCCUGAGAUUGAAUUAGGGGCUGGAGCUCACUGCACUCCAGCAGUCAUGGGACCCAGGAUAGGUGGUAUCAGCCUGACCAUAAAGGACCCCCGAUGGGUGGGUGCCUGGUGGCUGGGUUUCCUCAUCGCUGCCGGUGCAGUGGCCCUGGCUGCCAUCCCCUACUUCUUCUUCCCCAAGGAAAUGCCCAAGGAAAAACGUGAGCUUCAGUUUCGGCGAAAGGUCUUAGCAGUCACAGACUCACCUGCCAGGAAGGGCAAGGACUCUCCCUCUAAGCAGAGCCCUGGGGAGUCCACGAAGAAGCAGGAUGGCCUAGUCCAGAUUGCACCAAACCUGACUGUGAUCCAGUUCAUUAAAGUCUUCCCCAGGGUGCUGCUGCAGACCCUACGCCACCCCAUCUUCCUGCUGGUGGUCCUGUCCCAGGUAUGCUUGUCAUCCAUGGCUGCGGGCAUGGCCACCUUCCUGCCCAAGUUCCUGGAGCGUCAGUUUUCCAUCACAGCCUCCUACGCCAACCUGCUCAUCGGCUGCCUCUCCUUCCCUUCGGUCAUCGUGGGCAUCGUGGUGGGUGGCGUCCUGGUCAAGCGGUUCCACCUGGGCCCUGUGGGAUGCGGUGCCCUUUGCCUGCUGGGGAUGCUGCUGUGCCUCUUCUUCAGCCUGCCGCUCUUCUUUAUCGGCUGCUCCAGCCACCAGAUUGCGGGCAUCACACACCAGACCAGUGCCCACCCUGGGCUGGAGCUGUUUCCAAGCUGCAUGGAGGCCUGCUCCUGCCCAUUGGACGGCUUUAACCCUGUCUGCGACCCCAGCACUCGUGUGGAAUACAUCACACCCUGCCACGCAGGCUGCUCAAGCCGGGUGGUCCAGGAUGCUCUGGACAAAAGCCAGGUUUUCUACACCAACUGCAGCUGCGUGGUGGAGGGCAACCCCGUGCUGGCAGGAUCCUGCGACUCAACGUGCAGCCAUCUGGUGGUGCCCUUCCUGCUCCUGGUCAGCCUGGGCUCGGCCCUGGCCUGUCUCACCCACACACCCUCCUUCAUGCUCAUCCUAAGAGGAGUGAAGAAAGAAGACAAGACUUUGGCUGUGGGCAUCCAGUUCAUGUUCCUGAGGAUUUUGGGUAAAGAUCUUGCUUGGGACCAUUGGUGGUGGUGAUGGGGUCCAGAUGCCCACUGUGUGCCAGGCCUGGGGCACAGGCAUGAGCGGAACUCAAUCCCUGAUCUUAGGGCUCACAAGCUCAUGGGGUGACAGACCUGGCCCAGCUCUCCUAGAGCGGGGUAUAGAGGCAGAGUCUAGACAGCCCGUCAGGAAGCCACCUCGGAUGCAGGGGUGGGGCGGGCUUGAGGGCCAGACAGCCAAGAGGCCCCAGUAACCCAGAGCCCCUGAGGGGUUGUACAUGCCAGGGAGGGGGCAGGGUAGGACGGUGGGCCUUCAUUGUCCCCUGAGCACCACCUCCCUCAGCCUG